UAGAACAUGCCUUCCUCAUAAAAGAGCCUCAAAGCUCACUAUGGGACAGUCCCUGACUCUAAUGACUUCACAUCAGGUCCGGAUUUGUCUUAGAAACCAAAAGCCACCAGUGGAUGAUGGAGGCCGACUUAUUAAAUACUGGGCUAUACUUACAGAUAUGCCAGAAAUAAUACUUAAAACUUGUCAAACUUUAAACCUAGUUACCCUUAUGCCUGAACCUGACCACUGUACUUCUUUCUCUGUAGAGCAAAAAUGUUCAGAGGUUAUUGAUCUUGCUUACUCUAUUUGGCCAGAUUUAAGAUGCCCCUGUUAAAAAUACAAAUGACAGUCGGCUUACUGAUAACAAUACUUUUCGUAAAAAGAAUAAGAAAAGCUAGGUAUGCUGUAGUGCUCACUUGCACUUUGCAAUUGCCAAAGCCUAAAAAUAAACAUUUAUACUGACUCCAAAUAUGCCUUCCUGGUACUACAUGGGCACAUGGAGCUAUUUGGAAGGAAAGGGGAUUGCUAAGAUCGGAAAAGCA